UCGAGAAUCUUCGGCAAUGGACGAAAGUCUGACCGAGCGACGCCGCGUGCGGGAUGAAGGCCUUCGGGUUGUAAACCGCUGUCGUAGGGGAUCAAGUUUACGAGGGUUCUCCCUUGUAUUUGAGAGAUCCUAGGAGGAAGGAGAGGCUAAGCUCGUGC
rnacentral:rRNA from 1 species